UACAGAGGUCCCAAGCGUUGUUCGGAUUCACUGGGCGUAAAGGGUGCGUAGGUGGUGAGGUAAGUCGGAUGUGAAAUCUCCGAGCUCAACUCGGAAAUGGCAUUGGAAACUACCUUGCUAGAGGGUUGGAGGGGGGACUGGAAUGACUUGGUGUAGCAGUGAAAUGCGUAGAUAUCAAGUGGAACACCAGUGGCGAAGGCGAGUCCCUGGACAACUCCUGACACUGAGGCACGAAAGCUAGGGGAGCAAACAGG
rnacentral:rRNA from 1 species